ensembl:miRNA
UUAGGCCAUAUCCUCAGACAGUGUAAAUCGGCAUAGCGCUUUUAACUUCAGUGGAUCUGUGCUAAUUUACAUCUGCCGAGGACCUGGCCCAU